CUACGGGGGGCAGCAGUGGGGAAUCUUAGACAAUGGGGGAAACCCUGAUCUAGCCAUGCCGCGUGAUCGAUGAAGGCCUUAGGGUUGUAAAGAUCUUUCAGUUGGGAAGAUAAUGACGGUACCAACAGAAGAAGCCCCGGCUAACUCCGUGCCAGCAGCCGCGGUAAUACGGAGGGGGCUAGCGUUAUUCGGAAUUACUGGGCGUAAAGCGCACGUAGGCGGACUGGAAAGUUAGAGGUGAAAUCCCAGGGCUCAACCUUGGAACUGCCUUUAAAACUAUCAGUCUAGAGAUCGAGAGAGGUGAGUGGAAUUCCGAGUGUAGAGGUGAAAUUCGUAGAUAUUCGGAGGAACACCAGUGGCGAAGGCGG
rnacentral:rRNA from 1 species